AUGACGGGGCGGCUUGCAGCCGUGCCAAACGGGACCACCGACGGCGCCACGGCUGCUACCUGCCCACCGCGCUGCAUGUACCGCGACUGGAUCCGGACGGUCGCCGUGUCCGGGGCGCAGAUAAGAUCCACUCUCUUCUCCAACUCCCACCCUGGUCAGAGCGGAUCCUCCAUCGACUCCGGCGCCUCGGAUUCUUACCCGUCCAAAAGCUCCGGCCGUUCCUCCGGCUUGGCCGCACCGGACUUGGGUGCCCACGAGCUCACGACGAUCGCUCGCCAAAUGGUCAGCGAUGGGUACACCAAGCGUGUUGUUGAGGCGUUCAGCGCCACAUCUCCCGCGCCAGCUCUGGAGAAUUGGUUCUCGGAGCUCGACGUGGACUGGAUUCUCCAAAUCGGCAACGAGCAUGGCUCAUGGUGGCAGCUCCAGCUCGGAGACAAUUCGGCUUUAUCGCUGCGAGAUAUGGUCGAGAGGUGGAUUCGAGCUCUCACAGUAAUCGCCGGCAGUAUCGCCGAGCUCGUCUUUGCUCGCCACGAGACCUCCAAAGUCGCACGGUUUGGCACACUGAGCAUCGCCAAGAUGCUAGAGUUCGUCGAUGCCAUUGUCCCUGCUCCCAAGGCAGAGAACCUACGGGCCGUGCUAGACAUGUACAUUUGUGCCUCCAACGUGUCCUAUAUGUUUACGCCGCUCGACAUGUCUCCGGAAGCCCAAAUCAUAUUCACCGAGACCGCCAGCUCGUUGGGGACAACAAGAAACAAGUUAAACAAUGCCAUACUAAGCACGAUGAUGGAGGUGAGAACACUCAUGGAGGAUGACGAUUCAUGGGCCAUUGAGAUUCCACGAGGAGGAGGCGAUGUUCAUAGGAACACUCGGUUCAUGGUUGACUACAUAGUGUCAAUGAGGAAAGCCCGGGCUUCGACGGAGAACUGCGCGCCGAGCGACAACACCGUAAACCUUGGUGACCUGAUAGAUGCCACAUUUGACUAUAUCUAA
rnacentral:rRNA from 1 species